CCUACGGGAGACAGCAGUGAGGAAUAUUGGUCAAUGGACGAGAGUCUGAACCAGCCAAGUAGCGUGAAGGAUGACUGCCCUAUGGGUUGUAAACUUCUUUUAUAUGGGAAUAAAACGUUCCACGUGUGGGAUUUUGUAUGUACCAUAUGAAUAAGGAUCGGCUAACUCCGUGCCAGCAGCCGCGGUAAUACGGAGGAUCCGAGCGUUAUCCGGAUUUAUUGGGUUUAAAGGGAGCGUAGGUGGAUUGUUAAGUCAGUUGUGAAAGUUUGCGGCUCAACCGUAAAAUUGCAGUUGAAACUGGCAGUCUUGAGUACAGUAGAGGUGGGCGGAAUUCGUGGUGUAGCGGUGAAAUGCUUAGAUAUCACGAAGAACUCCGAUUGCGAAGGCAGUUCACUGGACUGCAACUGACACUGAGGCUCGAAAGUGUGAGUAUCAAACAGGAUUAGAUACCCGAGUAGUC
rnacentral:rRNA from 1 species